CAUCAGGUAACACGAAAUCGUACCCCAAACCGACACAGGUGGUCAGGUAGAGAAUACCAAGGCGCUUGAGAGAACUCGGGUGAAGGAACUAGGCAAAAUGGUGCCGUAACUUCGGGAGAAGGCACGCGGAUAUGUAGGUGAAGUCCCUGCGGACGGAGCUGAAAUCAGUCGAAGAUACCAGCUGGCUGCAACUGUUUAUUAAAAACACAGCACCUGUCUCUUAUACACAUCUCCGAGCCCACGAGACUACGCUGCAUCGCGUAUGCCGUCUUCUGCUUGAAAAGGGGGGGGGGGGGGGGGGGGGGGGGGGGGGGGGGGGGGGGGGGGGGGGGGGGGGGGGGGGGGGGGGGGGGGGGGGGGGGGGGGGGGGGGGGGGGGGGGGGGGG
rnacentral:rRNA from 1 species